rnacentral:rRNA from 1 species
ACGAACGCUGGCGGCGUGCUUAACACCUGCCAGUCGAACGUGAUUUUUGUGGAAAUUCUUUCGGGAAUGGAAAUGAAAUGAAAGUGGCGAACGGGUGAGUAACACGUGAGCAACCUACCUUACACAUGGGGAUAGCCGUUGGAAACGACGAUUAAUACCGCAUGAGACCACAGAAUCGCAUGAUAUAGGGGUCAAAGAUUUAUCGGUGUAAGAAGGGCUCGCGUCUGAUUAGCUAGUUGGAAGGGUAAAGGCCUACCAAGGCGACGAUCAGUAGCCGGUCUGAGAGGAUGAACGGCCACAUUGGAACUGAGACACGGUCCAAACUCCUACGGGAGGCAGCAGUGGGGAAUAUUGCACAAUGGGGGGAACCCUGAGGCAGCGACGCCGCGUGAGCGAAGAAGGUUUUCGAAGCGUAAAGCUCUGUCCUAUGAGAAGAUAAUGACGGUAUAAUAGGAGGAAGCCCCGGCUAAAUACGUG